rnacentral:tRNA from 1 species
GUCAGGAUUGCCGAGUGGUCUAAGGCGCCAGACUCAAGUUCUGGUCUUCGAGAGAUGGCGUGGGUUCAAAUCACACUUCUGACA